rnacentral:rRNA from 1 species
AUUGAACGCUGGCGGAAUGCUUUACACAUGCAACUCGAACGGCAGCACGGACUUCGGUCUGGUGGCGAGUGGCGAACGGGUGAGUAAUGUAUCGGAACGUGCCCAGUCGUGUGGGAUAACGUAGUGAAAAUUACGCUAAUACCGCAUACGAUCUAUGGAUGAAAGCGGGGGAUCGCAAGACCUCGCGCGAUUGGAGCGGCCGAGAUCAGAUUAGGUAGGUGAUGGGGUAAAGGCCCACCAAGCCAACGACCUGUAGCUGGUCUGAGAGGACAACCAGCCACACUGGAACUGAGAUACGGUCCAGACUCCUACGGGAGGCAGCAGUGGGGAAUUUUGGACAAUGGGCGAAAGCCUGAUCCAGCCAUUCCGCGUGCAGGAUGAAGGCCCUCGGGUUGUAAACUGCUUUUGUACAGAACGAAAAGGUUUCUACUAAUACUAGGAGCUCAUGACGGUACUGUAAGAAUAAGCACCGGCUAACUACGUGCCAGCAGCCGCGGUAA